UCUGGGACAAGCCCUGGAAACGGGGUCUAAUACCGGAUAACACUCUGUCCCUCAUGGGGCGGGGUUAAAAGCUCCGGCGGUGAAGGAUGAGCCCGCGGCCUAUCAGCUUGUUGGUGGGGUAAUGGCCUACCAAGGCGACGACGGGUAGCCGGCCUGAGAGGGCGACCGGCCACACUGGGACUGAGACACGGCCCAGACUCCUACGGGAGGCAGCAGUGGGGAAUAUUGCACAAUGGGCGAAAGCCUGAUGCAGCGACGCCGCGUGAGGGAUGACGGCCUUCGGGUUGUAAACCUCUUUCAGCAGGGAAGAAGCGCAAGUGACGGUACCUGCAGAAGAAGCACCGGCUAACUACGUGCCAGCAGCCGCGGUAAUACGUAGGGUGCGAGCGUUGUCCGGAAUUAUUGGGCGUAAAGAGCUCGUAGGCGGCUUGUCACGUCGGAUGUGAAAGCUCGGGGCUUAACCCCGAGUCUGCAUUCGAUACGGGCUAGCUAGAGUGUGGUAGGGGAGAUCGGAAUUCCUGGUGUAGCGGUGAAAUGCGCAGAUAUCAGAGGAACACCGGUGGCGAAGGCGGAUCUCUGGGCCAUUACUGACGCUGAGGAGCGAAAGCGUGGGGAGCGAACAGGAUUAGAUACCCUGGUAGUCCACGCCGUAAACGUUGGGAACUAGGUGUUGGCGACAUUCCACGUCGUCGUGCCGCAGCUAACGCAUUAAGUUCCCCGCCUGG
rnacentral:rRNA from 1 species